rnacentral:pre_miRNA from 1 species
GGAUAUCAUCAUAUACUGUAAGUUCGUUAUAGAGACACUACAGUAUAGAUGAUGUACUA